rnacentral:rRNA from 1 species
UACCUGCAGCCCGAGUGGUGGCUGUUAUUAUUGGGCCUAAAACGUCCGUAGCCGGCUGAGUAGAUGCCUGUGUAAAUCGAACGGCUUAACCGUUCGAACUGCGGGUAGACCGCUCAGCUUGGGACCGGGAGAGUCACGAAGUACUCCGGGGGUAGAGGUGAAAUUCUGUAAUCCUCGGGGGACUACCGGUGGCGAAGGCGUCGUGAUAGAACGGCUCCGACGGUGAGGGACGAAGCCCUGGGGCGCAAACCGG